rnacentral:miRNA from 1 species
AUCUUCUCAAAGUAACAUACUGCCUUUCCUGCUGUAGCAGCACGUAAAUAUUGGCGUGGGCACUUGCUGAAACCUCCAAUGUUAGCUUGCUGCUGCAGUUUGAUUGGCCCUUUCUCCG